rnacentral:rRNA from 1 species
ACAUACGACCACAGCCGCUAGUUGAACUCACGAUCCCGUCUGAUCUCGUACGAUAACCUAGCAAGCGCUGGAUUAGUAGUUGGAUCGGUGAUGACCAGUGGAUACCUAGUAUUAUAUGUA